AACGAACGCUGGCGGCAUGCCUAACACAUGCAAGUCGAACGAGACCUUCGGGUCUAGUGGCGCACGGGUGCGUAACGCGUGGGAAUCUGCCCUUGGGUUCGGAAUAACAGUUGGAAACGACUGCUAAUACCGGAUGAUGACGUAAGUCCAAAGAUUUAUCGCCCAAGGAUGAGCCCGCGUAGGAUUAGCUAGUUGGUGAGGUAAAGGCUCACCAAGGCGACGAUCCUUAGCUGGUCUGAGAGGAUGAUCAGCCACACUGGGACUGAGACACGGCCCAGACUCCUACGGGAGGCAGCAGUGGGGAAUAUUGGACAAUGGGCGUAAGCCUGAUCCAGCAAUGCCGCGUGAGUGAUGAAGGCCUUAGGGUUGUAAAGCUCUUUUACCCGGGAUGAUAAUGACAGUACCGGGAGAAUAAGCUCCGGCUAACUCCGUG
rnacentral:rRNA from 1 species